UGCUGUACUUGUUUGUGCUGCAGUUUGUUACACAAAAGGCCCAGGAAGAAUUCAGAGCAGUUUUGACUGCAUUUUGUCUUCCAAAAACAAGUUUCUUCCACUGAAGAAUGUGUCACGGUCUCCUCCUCCCCUCCUGAAUAGGGGAGCAGGCAGACACAAAUGAAUCAUGUCUAUGUUGCCAAUUUGGUGCUUACCUCUUGGUGUAAGCUACAAAAUAUUUCCUGUCGCUUGUUUAGGAAGAAACUUUCCUCCAGGCGUCAAUGCCUAAUCCAGUAAUACAAGGCACUGCAAUGAAUUCCAUCUUGUUCAAUCAACAAGCUAUUAGACAGAAACAGUAUUCCAAUCAGAAUCCCCAUUCACCUACCCAAACUGUAAUGUUGCUUUCCCCACUAAGACAGGAGAGCCAAUAUGUUGUGGAUAAUGAUGUUUUCCUGUGGUCUAUCUAUUCCCUGAAUUCUAAUUUUCAACAGCUAGCUUCCAGAUGUGUCUAACGGUUCAUGAAAGGUAGUGAUCCAUCUGAAAUUCCUUGGGACAGUCCCGACUUUUUGACUCUAAUCUUUGAGGCUCUUUAACAUCAAAGUUCAGGUGAAGGAAAGCUGAAGGAACAGAAGGUGUGGAUAGAGCCCUGACCGUCUGCAAGAUUCCACUCUGUUCUAAGAAAUAAAAUCAAGUGAGAAACAUUUCAACAGUA